rnacentral:rRNA from 1 species
CGAGGGGAGUGAAAAAGAACCUGAAACCGUGUACGUACAAGCAGUGGGAGCACCUUCGGGUGUGACUGCGUACCUUUUGUAUAAUGGGUCAGCGACUUAUAUUCUGUAGCAAGGUUAACCGUAUAGGGGAGCCGCAGGGAAACCGAGUCUUAACUGGGCGUUAAGUUGCAGGGUAUAGACCCGAAACCCGGUGAUCUAGCCAUGGGCAGGUUGAAGGUUGGGUAACACUAACUGGAGGACCGAACCGACUAAUGUUGAAAAAUUAGCGGAUGACUUGUGGCUGGGGGUGAAAGGCCAAUCAAACCGGGAGAUAGCUGGUUCUCCCCGAAAGCUAUUUAGGUAGCGCCUCGUGAACUCAUCUUCGGGGGUAGAGCACUGUUUCGGCUAGGGGGUCAUCCCGACUUACCAACCCGAUGCAAACUACGAAUACCGAAGAAUGUUAUCACGGGAGACACACGGCGGGUGCUAACGUCCGUCGUGAAGAGGGAAACAACCCAGACCGCCAGCUAAGGUCCCAAAGUCAUGGUUAAGUGGGAAACGAUGUGGGAAGGCACAGACAGCCAGGAUGUUGGCUUAGAAGCAGCCAUCAUUUAAAGAAAGCGUAAUAGCUCACUGGUCGAGUCGGCCUGCGCGGAAGAUGUAACGGGGCUAAACCAUGCACCGAAGCUGCGGCAGCGACACUAUGUGUUGUUGGGUAGGGGAGCGUUCUGUAAGCCUGCGAAGGUGACCUGUGAGGGUUGCUGGAGGUAUCAGAAGUGCGAAUGCUGACAUAAGUAACGAUAAAGCGGGUGAAAAGCCCGCUCGCCGGAAGACCAAGGGUUCCUGUCCAACGUUAAUCGGGGCAGGGUGAGUCGACCCCUAAGGCGAGGCCGAAAGGCGUAGUCGAUGGGAAACAGGUUAAUAUUCCUGUACUUGGUGUUACUGCGAAGGGGGG